UCCCAUUUGGUCUGGGUGGGGCCUGGGAACCCACAACGUGAGAACUCCCGAGGUGUUUCUCAUAGCCGCUCAACUGUGCCAAGCA
ensembl:miRNA